CCUGGGAUACCUUUCUCGUAGAGAACCCUAAGCGUGCAAUGUCUCUGAAUGGAAAAAUGAGAUGAAGUUGGGGGAACCCCUAAUGGGUUUCCGAUUGUGGUUAAGAGGCCUUGGGCCUGGUGUGGGUUGCUUCCUUUUUCUUCCUACGGAGAAGCAGUUCCUAUUCACACCCCCUUCCAUUUGGGUUG
rnacentral:sRNA from 1 species